rnacentral:rRNA from 1 species
UACGUAGGGGGCAAGCGUUGUCCGGAAUCAUUGGGCGUAAAGGGCGCGUAGGCGGACAGUUAAGUCGGGGGUGAAAGCCCGGGGCUCAACCCCGGAAUUGCCUUUGAGACUGCAUCGCUAGAAUUGUGGAGAGGUAAGUGGAAUUCCGAGUGUAGAGGUGAAAUUCGUAGAUAUUCGGAAGAACACCAGUGGCGAAGGCGACUUACUGGACACAUAUUGACGCUGAGGUGCGAAAGCGUGGGGAGCAAACAGG